GCCCGCAUGGCUCAGUGGUAGAGCGCAUCACUAGUAUUAGGUAGGCACGCUUGUUAUAUCUAACAAACUGAUUUGCGUGUCUAUCCUUGGUUUCUAUGAUGAGGUCAUCAGUUCGAUUCUGAUUGUGGGCA